rnacentral:rRNA from 1 species
UACGAAGGGUGCAAGCGUUACUCGGAAUUACUGGGCGUAAAGCGUGCGUAGGUGGUGGUUUAAGUCUGCUGUGAAAGCCCUGGGCUCAACCUGGGAAUUGCAGUGGAUACUGGAUCACUAGAGUGUGGUAGAGGGAUGCGGAAUUUCUGGUGUAGCAGUGAAAUGCGUAGAGAUCAGAAGGAACAUCCGUGGCGAAGGCGGCAUCCUGGGCCAACACUGACACUGAGGCACGAAAGCGUGGGGAGCAAACAGGAUUAGAUACCCUAGUAGUCC